UAUAGUUCAAUCAUUAUUAAUUAUUAAGUUACUAUUCAGUCAUAAGCAACGAGUGAUUUCCCUGUCUUUUGUUGUUUGAUUAACAUUUAAAACACAUUCAGACAGCAGGAAUGCAAGGGCUGCUGUCUCUUUAAGACGCAUGUGUUCUUUCUCCAGUGUAUAAGUUCACUUAAGACAUAACCGACAAUGCUUACUAGAAUACUCGCUAAGACGGGCAUGUUGACAUAAUUUUGUGUGAAUUUGUCUAUUCAAGCACAAGACUUGAAAGAGACCUCUAUAUUUGCGCGCUGUACACGCGCUUCCGCGUGCGCGCUUCGGAUGAGUGCACAAAUCUUCUCAAAGCGCGCGCGCAAGUUCUCCUUCGCGUCUUGCACUCGGAUGUUUAAAUUGGCAAGGCUGAAAUGAGUUUAGUUUAAACGCAGACAACAACUUGUGCAGUUCAGGUCUCACCUGCAUAAGCUAUCAACACCCGGUGAUGGCGAAGUAAAUGACUGCUCAUAUAGAACAUGCGGCAUUCGCACUGAACAAAGUUUAGGGGUAGCCAGAAUGCAUAUAGGUGGUCGGUUCAUGUGCUCUCUGCGUGAACUGAAGCGGUACCGUGAUCUGUCACUCCACAGAGUGCUAAGAAAGAUCACGACAGCUCGAGAGACAUCCAUGGUCUCACUCCAGUAUGGGAAAGUAGUCAGUCACUCCUUGUGUUUUAAGAAUAGGCUAACAGGUGAGCCGAGGGAUAGCACAAAAUUACAUACAUCUGUAAAAUUACUACGCAAUAGGCAUGUGAAGUGAAUGAGUGUAAACUGAGCUCAGCGCAAAUCAAAUAGCCGUGCUGUUUGUCUCUCAGAAAUCAGAGCUUUGCAAAAAAAUUAGUCUAAUACAUCAAUAAAAUACUGCAUCAUAAACAUUUUCUACUAUUCGAUAUGUAUUUAAAUGAUUUAAACCUUGCGAGAUGAUAGAUGAAACACAAAUGGGCAAAAAGUAUGAAAUGAGCAGCGCGUUCGUAAAUCAAAUAGCCGCGUUUCUCUUGCGUCUCUCAGAAAUCAGCUUUGUCAGUAAUAGGCUGCUAUCAACUAAAACAGUACAUCAUCAUACACACUUUCUACUAUUCAAUGUCUACUUAAAUGUUUAAAACAUUGUACGAUAUGAUAAAUUAAUUAGUGUAAAUUAUAUGAAUGAAAUGAAGCACGCGAUAGCAAGUCAAGACAAAUGUAGGACUAUGCCUGCGUCCCAAUGUCCAUACUAUCCAUAAUAAAUAGUAUGUGAGAUUAAAAUAAGUGUGUCCCAAAGCGUAGUUUGUUGAAAAGAGUAUGCCAAGAGUCCCCGGAUGGUGUACUAUUUCCUGCAGAUUUUCUUGGUGUGGAUCCAUCGAUGCGUCCCAAUGUCCAUACUAUCCAUCCUAAAUAGUAUGUGAGAUUACAAAAAGUGUGUCCCAAAGCAUAGUAUGUUGAAAAGCGUAUGCCAAAAUUCCCCGGAUGAUGUACUAUUUCCGGUAGAUUUUCGAAGUGUUGAUCCAUGCACACUUUAUCGGCUCGUGUUUCCCAUAAUCUCUUGCGUUUGGGGGAGGAGUUUAAGAUCCAUAAGGUGAACAAACAUGACGGACGAACGUGUUAACAAUGUGAAUGUGUUAUCAUCAGCGUUUAAAUGUAAAAGUGCAUACAUUUAUAAAGCAGAUAGCCUAAUUUAUUGUCAUUUGUCACUGUUGUGCUAAUAUUAGGCCUAAUUAAAAUACGUCUUAUAUUUUGUAGGGUCAGAUGAACACACUGAACAUCUAAUUACUUGGCGAACUACCAAUGAUGCUGUUUUCACGGGCAAGAGAAACGCUGCUAUAAAAGGAUUCGAAACUUUUAUAGAGCAGAGCAAUCUGCAGGGAAAAGUGUCUGCUGCAUGGGUAAAAAAGAAAUGGGAGAACCUUAAGCAGAAGUACAAAGACCUUAAGUGUCCACAGACAGGGGUCAGCACAGAGGGUGGGGAAUCUACAGCAGCCUCCUGGAAGUGGUAUGGGGUGAUGGAUGCUGCAUUAGGGUGUAAGCCGUCAAUCACCCCACCACUGCUCAUCCAGCAAGGAUAUUGUCAAUAGUUCCUCAUCCCCUGUUGCUGGCCCAUCUGAUUUGGCACCAACAAACAGGAAGAGAAGAAGCGAAGGGGACCUUUUGACAUACCUAAAGGAGAUGGAAGAAAGAGAGGCAAAGAGAGAGGAAGAAGCCCAGCAGAGAGAGGAAAGAAGAACAAGAGAGUUGGAAGAGAGAGAGACAAGACGAUAUGAAGAGACAAAACAGAGAGAGGAAGAAGCCAGGAGGAGAGAGGACGAGUUCAGGGUGAGAAUGCUGAGGAGAGAGGAGAUGAGGGAUGAAGAAAUGAGACGGAGGGAUGCAGAGAUGAGGAGAGAAGUUGCAGCAAGAGAGGAGAGGUUCCUCAGUUUAAUGGAAGUCCUUGCCAAAUCACUUUCCAAAAAUGAUUGAUUUAUUAUUAUUUUAUGUUUUUUUUAUGGUUUUAUACAUUAUGUAUUGUUUUUUAUUAUUUAUUGACUGUUUUUCACCUUAUUUUUGCUAUGAAGUAGUGCUGAUGCUGAUACAGCACACAACAAAGUACUUUAAAGAAGUAUCUCAGUAUUUAAGUUAAUCUGUCUGAAAAUAAACAAAUUAACAGCUAUAAAUUUGCGGCUUUCUGUG